AAGACCAGUCUCUGACUGAUUAUCCUUACACUGUUCAACCUUCUGGGAAUCUCAGGCGGAGAAUAUGUUGUACAAAGAUCAGUCUCUGACUGAUUAUCCUUACACUGUUCAACCUUCUGGGAAUCUCAGGCGGAGAAUAUGUUGUAAAAAGACCAGUCUCUGACUGAUUAGCCUUACACUGUUCAACCUUCUGGGAAUCUCAGGCGGAGAAUAUGUUGUAAAAAGACCAGUCUCUGACUGAUUAGCCUUACACUGAUCGACCUUCUGGGAAUCUCAGGCGGAGAAUAUGUUGUAAAAAGACCAGUCUCUGACUGAUUAGCCUUACACUGAUCGACCUUCUGGGAAUCUCAGGUGGAGAAUAUGUUG